GUACGACUGGAAUAAAAAAAGAUCCCUCAUUCUAUCAAAAAUACAAAAGCUAUUUCCAGACACAAAUGUACACUAACUUCUCAAGCAGUAAUCUUAUUUUGUUAUUUUUUUUUAUUCCUUUAUUUGAUGUUUGUUUAACCAGGUAAGUCCCACUGACACUGGAAACCUCUUUCGCAGAGAAGACCUGGGUAUGACAGUGGAAUAAAAGUUGCAAAGAGAGAAUGGAGUCAUUUAUUAUAGAGUUUACAAUGGUCUCGACUUCUGCCAGAGAUAUCAGAUUCAUCAGUUUAAUUUCCUUUUGCAGAUUAUUCCAAGUGGGUAGAGCAGAGGACAUGACGGCUCUCUGUCCCUACAGUUUGAGCAGACUGACACUGAGUACAACACCAACACUGAUGGAAACCAACAGCAAGGAGCAUAAAGUUCAUGGUCCAACAUGACAGACUAUAGUUGAAGAUAUUAGAGCUCAGCUUGUCAACAUGAAGCAUCCACACAUAUGGAGCACCACACACAGAUAUGCAUGACUGAUCGCUCCCCCUACCAGGACAAAUAAACCCUACAACCCCCACCCAGCAACGUAUGGCGGCAACCAGCUGUCAGUUCAUUAGAGAGGAAAGGAGGAGGAAAAAGAAGAGGAGGGAGGAGAGCGAAGGGGAGGCUGAUCGGAAAUUACAGCAGGAGGAAAUGACCCAGCAUGAUGACUGUGGUGGUGCCGCUGGAGGUGAUGAUAUCACUCUCAUUGUACUGUAAACAGCUGUUAUCGAGGAAGAUAUUAAACUUUGAGUCACAAUGUGUGAUCACAGUGCUUACAAGUACAAGACGGUCUUUGACAGAUUCACACGAUGCUUGUAUAAUAUAGGCGCACUGUCCAUGAAAGAUAAAGUCUAUAUUGAAAUAGAUUAAAAAAACAUAAUGACAAGUUCAAAACAGUGCAAUAUAUGGAAGGUCUCUGCACUUCUUAGACUUUUUAUAUGAACUCAUUGUCAUGUUCAAGACACCAGUUGGAGAUAGUUUGAGCUUUGUCACAUGGUGCGUUAUCCUGCUGGUGUUUA